rnacentral:lncRNA from 1 species
GUCAGUUUGACUCUACUAUUGAUAAUAGAAUCCAGGCAGCUAUUAUAUAUUUCUUAACUCUACAUGAAUGCAUUGAUGACAUAGAGAAUUGAGUGGACGACAGGUUGAGAGAGAUAUCGGUCCCUGACCUUGCAGUUUUCUAGGAAGUCUUAGACAAGGCUAAAGCUUAUAUUAUGGCAUAGUAGAGCCACCGGAUUAUGAUAUCUUCAGAUACUAUAGCUUAAGAAUCUAAGGAUGAAGCUCCAUUAAUUAAAAUCACUGGGAAACUAGUGUACAAAAAGAAAUAAAAGGAAGACAAGAAAGAGAAAAGUAAGUAAAAAAAAGUGACAAUGGUGAAGAAAGAAGAGCUGACAGAAGAGAGAAGAUAAAGGAAGAAAAUAAAAAUCAGAAAGAAGAUUCAAGAGAAUCAAAGGUGGGGGUGAACCACUCGAAGAAGCAUUGAGAGCUAGAGUUGUGGAAGCCUCAGCCAGUGGGCCUCCGUUGACUGUGGGAGAUACUAUUAUCGAGUUUUUUACUCCUUCAACGACUGGUAUAGAUGCAUCAGCCCAGCUAGAUACCACUGAUAAGAAUACACCCGCUGAUGAUGCAACAACACAGUCAGCGGUUCGUGAGUCACACACUUAAGG